rnacentral:rRNA from 1 species
GAAACUGCGAAGUGGAGCAAAACUCUAAAAAACAANCUCAGUUCAGAUUGCAGGCUGCAACUCGCCUGCAUGAAGUCGGAAUUGCUAGUAAUCGUAGGUCAGCAUACUACGGUGAAUACGUUCCCGGGCCUUGUACACACCGCCCGUCAAACCAUGAGAGUUGGCAACACCCGAAGUCGGUAGUCUAACCGCAAGGAGGACGCCGCCGAAGGUGGGGUUGAUGAUUAGGGUUAAGUCGUAACAAGGUACC